AUCGAACGCUGGCGGCAGGCCUAACACAUGCAAGUCGAUCGAGCGGCGGACGGGUGAGUAAUGUAUGGGGACUGCCCGAUAGAGGGGGCUAACUACUGGAAACGGUGGCUAAUACCGCAUACUCUCGGAUAACCCAUACGGGAUUAGCUAGCAGGUGGGGCAAAGGCUCACCUUGGCGCCGCUCACCAGCUGGUCUGCGAGGAUGAUCAACAACACGGGGACUGAGACAAGGCCCAGAAUCCGACGGAGGCAGCAGUGGGGAAUGUUGCACAAUGGGCGCAAGCCUGAAGCAGCCAUGCCGGGUGUAUGAAGAAGGCCUUAGGGUUGUAAAGUACUUUCAGCAGGGAAGCGUUACCCAAAGAAGAAGCACCGGCUAACUCCGUGCCAGCAGCCGCGGUAAUUC
rnacentral:rRNA from 1 species